rnacentral:rRNA from 1 species
CGGGAGCGAGUAAAGUGGCGGACGGGUGAGUAACGCGUAGGAAUCUACCUUUCAGUGGGGGAUAGCUCGGGGAAACUCGAAUUAAUACCGCAUACACCCUUCGGGGGAAAGGGGGCCUCUCCUUGGAAGCUCUCGCUGUUAGAUGAGCCUGCGUGAGAUUAGCUUGUUGGUAAGGUAAUGGCUUACCAAGGCUACGAUCUCUAGCUGGUCUGAGAGGACGAUCAGCCACACUGGGACUGAGACACGGCCCAGACUCCUACGGGAGGCAGCAGUAGGGAAUAUUGGACAAUGGGGGCAACCCUGAUCCAGGCAUGCCGCGUGUGUGAAGAAGGCCUUAGGGUUGUAAAGCACUUUAAGUGAGGAAGAAAAGAUUUAAAUUAAUACUUUAAGUCCCUGACAUUACUCACAGAAUAAGGACCGGCUAACUCCGUGCCAGCAGCCGCGGUAAUACGGAGGGUCCAAGCGUUAAUCGGAAUUACUGGGCGUAAAGCGCGCGUAGAUGGUUUAUUCAGUUGGGUGUGAAAUCCCUGGGCUCAACCUAGGAACUGCAUUCAAAACUUAUAAACUAGAGUACGAAAGAGGAGAGUAGAAUUCAUGGUGUAGCGGUGAAAUGCGUAGAGAUCAUGAGGAAUACCAGUGGCGAAGGCGACUCUCUGGUUCGAGACUGACAUUGAGGUGCGAAAGCGUGGGUAGCAAACAGGAUUAGAUACCCUGGUAGUCCACGCCGUAAACGAUGAGAACUAGCCGUUGGAUCUUUAGAUUCAGUGGCGCAGCUAACGCAUUAAGUUCUCCGCCUGGGGAGUACGGCCGCAAGGCUAAAACUCAAAUGAAUUGACGGGGGCCCGCACAAGCGGUGGAGCAUGUGGUUUAAUUCGAUGCAACGCGAAAAACCUUACCUACUCUUGACAUACUUGGAAGCUCUUGUAAUGAGAGUGUGCUUUUAGAGCCAAGAUACAGGUGCUGCAUGGCUGUCGUCAGCUCGUGUCGUGAGAUGUUGGGU